AUACGGAGGGGGCAAGCGUUGUUCGGAAUUACUGGGCGUAAAGGGCGUGUAGGCGGUUAGGCAAGUCAGAUGUGAAAGCCCCGGGCUUAACUCGGGAAUUGCAUCUGAAACUGCUUAACUUGAGUCCUGGAUGGGGUAGUGGAAUUCCCAGUGUAGCGGUGAAAUGCGUAGAUAUUGGGAGGAACACCUGCGGCGAAGGCGGCUACCUGGACAGUGACUGACGCUGAGGCGCGAAAGCUAGGGGAGC
rnacentral:rRNA from 1 species